rnacentral:sRNA from 13 species
GCUGGGCAUGGUGGCGCAUGCCUGUAAUCCCAGCUACUCAGGAGGCCGAGGCAGGAGAAUCACUUGAACCCGGGAGGUGGAGGUUGCAGUGAGUCGAGACCUCGCCAUUGCACUCCACCCUGGGCAACAGAGGGAGACUCUAUCUCUA